rnacentral:rRNA from 1 species
UGCAAGCGUUAUCCGGAUUCACUGGGUUUAAAGGGUGCGUAGGAGGGCAGGUAAGUCAGUGGUGAAAUCCCCGAGCUUAACUUGGGAACUGCCGUUGAUACUAUCUGUCUUGAAUACCGUGGAGAUGAGCGGAAUAUGUCAUGUAGCGGUGAAAUGCUUAGAUAUGACAUAGAACACCAAUUGCGAAGGCAGCUCGUUACACGAAUAUUGACUCUGAGGCACGAAAGCGUGGGGAUCAAACAGGAUUAGAUACCCUGGUAGUCCACGCCCUAAACGAUGGAUACUCGACAUACGCGAUACACAGUGUGUGUCUGAGCGAAAGCAUUAAGUAUCCCACCUGGGAAGUACGACCGCAAGGUUG